rnacentral:rRNA from 1 species
UACGAAGGGGGCUAGCGUUGCUCGGAAUCACUGGGCGUAACGGGCGCGUAGGCGGCUUUAUAAGUCGGGGGUGAAAGCCUGUGGCUCAACCACAGAAUUGCCUUCGAUACUGUAGAGCUUGAGACCGGAAGAGGUAAGUGGAACUGCGAGUGUAGAGGUGAAAUUCGUAGAUAUUCGCAAGAACACCAGUGGCGAAGGCGGCUUACUGGUCCGGUUCUGACGCUGAGGCGCGAAAGCGUGGGGAGCAAACAGG